rnacentral:tRNA from 1 species
AGAAAGGUGACUGAGAGGCUUAAAGUGAAGAUUUGCUAAAUCUUUGUAUAACUAUUUUAUUAUACCAUGGGUUCGAAUCCCAUUCUUUCUA